GACGAACGCUGGCGGCGUGCUUAACACAUGCAAGUCGAACGGAAAGGCCCUGCUUUUGUGGGGUGCUCGAGUGGCGAACGGGUGAGUAACACGUGAGUAACCUGCCCUUGACUUUGGGAUAACUUCAGGAAACUGGGGCUAAUACCGGAUAGGAGCUCCUGCUGCAUGGUGGGGGUUGGAAAGUUUCGGCGGUUGGGGAUGGACUCGCGGCUUAUCAGCUUGUUGGUUGGGUAGUGGCUUACCAAGGCUUUGACGGGUAGCCGGCCUGAGAGGGUGACCGGCCAAAUUGGGACGGAGAUACGGCCCAGACUCCUACGGGAGGCAGCAGUGGGGAAUAUUGCACAAUGGGCGGAAGCCUGAUGCAGCAACGCCGCGUGCGGGAUGACGGCCUUCGGGUUGUAAACCGCUUUCGCCUGUGACGAAGCGUGAGUGACGGUAAUGGGUAAAGAAGCACCGGCUAACUACGUG
rnacentral:rRNA from 1 species